rnacentral:lncRNA from 1 species
CGAUUUAUACUCGUGUGUAUAUAUAACGGGAAUGACUGUCUUAGUUUUUUGCAAUCAAUCGUUAAUUAACGUACAUAUAUAGAUACAUCCAUAUAUAUACACGAGUAUAUACACCCAUAGGCCCAACCCCAACACCUGUAACGCAGUAAGUGAACUUAGUACGAAGAGGGGAGAGGAAACUUGAGUGGAGAAGGAGAGUGGCGGAGUUGGAGAGAGAAAGAGAGGGGAAAGCGAGAAAAGAUAGAAAGAAAGAUAAUUAGAGGAAACGGUGAGAUCGAAGGGGGAGGGUGAACAGUAAGCGAACUUACCAUAACACCAUUGUUGACGCGGGGAGAGGAAGGAGAGAUCGCGUUGAAUCAUCGUUACACAGAUCCGAGAGGUAAGUAUCAUUUGGUCUUCACGGCUGGAGUAGAAUUUUAUAUGCUAAGUUCUUUGUGAUUUCUUCGUUUGUGUUCGGAGUGAUACGGAACGGAUUCGGGAGUAAGAUCUGGGAGGCGUAAAUAAUUGUGUUAAAAUUGAUAAUAAUAACAGAGAAGAAAGAAGAGAGGAACGGAGUAAAAGUUGGGGAGAAGGGGCUCGGAACUGGGGGAUUUUUAUUGGAUGGGUUUAGAAAGUUGUUGAACAUGGGAAAAAUUAUAUGAUUAAUGAAGCCUGGACAUAGAGAGAAAAGAAAAAUGGCUAACCGAACCGAUUAAGAGAAGAGAGGGGGAAGAGGAAAAUUGAGAUGUGCGUCGAUAUAUAUAUAUAUAUAUAUAUAAUUGCUUGGUGAAUACUGUUUAGACAGGGAUGUGCGUCGAUAUGUAUAUACAUAAUUGCUUGUCGUUUAGACAGGCUUGGUUAUCCUCAUACUGUUAAUGCGAAUUAAAGCUCAUGUUUACUUUACAGUAAUUAGGUUUAUUGUAACCAUGUGUUUGUUGUGCUUAAAUGGUGUAAGAAUUUCCAUACAGCAGACCCAAUGCUGGGUCGAGGGGUCGGUGCCCGAGUGUGUGAUUGGCAUUGACAUGUCGUUGGGGGCAAUCGAAAUAGUUGUGGUUCUGUGAUCCAGAGAUGGGGGGAAUGUGGGAGUCUGUUGUGGCCUUGUGGUUGGGGUCGAGGGGGCAAUGCCCGAGUACGCGAUUGGCAUUGAUAUGCCGUUGGGGGUAAUUGAAAUAAUUAUCGUUCUGUGAUCCAGAGGUGAAGGAAUAAGGGCCUAACAUUGGGUCGAGGGGUCGGUGCCCGAGUGUGUGAUUGGCGUUGAUAUGCUGUUGGUGGGUAAUUGUAAUAGUUGUGGCUCUGUGAUCCAGAGAUGGGGGGAAUAUGGGAGUCUGUUGUGGCCCAGUGGUUGGGUCGAGGGGGCAAUGCUCGAGUACGUGAUUGGCGUUGAUAUAUCAUUGGGGGCAAUCAAAAUAAUUAUCAUUCUGUGAUCCAGAGGUGAAGGAAUAAGGGCCUAACAUUGGGUCGAGGGGUCGGUGCCCGAGUGUGUGAUUGGCGUUGAUAUGCUGUUGGUGGGUAACUGUUAUAGUUGUGGUUCUGUGAUCCAGAGAUGGGGGGAAUAUGGAAGUCUGUUGUGGCCCAGUGGUUGGGUCGAGGGGUUGAUGCCUCGGGAACUAAUUAUUUAUUUGUUUUAUUCUUUCUUCUUACGUUUGAUCACUUUCCUCUUUUCCUUUCUGUUUGAAACCUUAGUAUAUCUGAUGUCUGUAACUGGUGAGGGGGUGAAUAUCUAGUGGCUUAGGAGCCGUGGUAAGGUUGUAAAUAUGUCAAGAGGGAAGCUAGUUCGAGGGAAGUAUGGGCUGAACUAAAGUGAGAGACGUAAGGAGUUUGGCGAGAGUGUUCUGAAUACCUCGACCGACAGUGGGGCUCUGUUGGGCAAGCUUGGGAAGUUUGAGGAGAGAUUUACAGUGGAGGUUAGAGUAAGAUACUGGGCNNN